rnacentral:tRNA from 1 species
ACCUGGGUGGCUCAGUCGGUUAAGCAUCUGACUUGAGCUCAGGUCAUGAUCUCCUGGUUUGUGAGUUUGAGCCCCACUUCGGGCU